UUGCUUUGGUUGGAUUUUAUGAGUCUUAUCACAAACUGUUUGAACUUUUUUUGAAGGAAAGAUUAAGGUAAAGCCAGGUCUAUAAGGUAACAAACUGAUUCUUAGAGAAUAUGUAGCUGUUAGGAGCAAAAUAUCUUCCUAAAGCACAGAAAAUGAGUUUGUUCCCAAUUCUGUCAGCCAUCUGGUAAGAUUAUCUGAAACAAGUAUUUUUCGUCCCAAAGAGAAACAGCUGAAGAGUAGAAAGAGGCAGAGGCAGUGCAGUGCAGUGCGGAGUUGGAGAAUUAGGCAAAGCUGAGCGGAUGGGAUGCUGACACUAAAUAGAAUGCAGAGAAAUAAAUGAUUCCUUUAUUUAUUCUCAACUUUGAAGGAGUACACCAUGUCAAAUCAGUGGUGGGAAGGUGAUUAGGGAGACAUAUACUCAUUAUUGCUACUCAGAACAUUAGCUAAAUAUUCAUUGAGCUAUUUGCUAGAUAAAGAUACUAGAUGUUUCUGUUCUCAGCAAACCCACGAUCAUGUAAGAACAGAUAAAUCCACUGCUACGAAUGUGGUAAGCACAACAGAGAUAAGUCCACAGUACGCAGGUGGCGAAGGAAGAGUAUCUGAAAAGGCCUCCAGGAGGAGAGGAUAAUCUGAGCUAGAUGAGGAAAGACAGACAGGAGACUAACAGGCAUACGGGGACAUUCCGGAGCGGGCGUGCUGCCAUGGCACUGGGACAAUAUUAUGGGAAACAACACCGUGUUGUUAUUAUGAUUGGAAUUACUGGAGAAGACAGGCAGUACAUGAACCUGGAGAUCAUGACUGUUUGCUUUUAUGCUACAACAUUAAAGAACUUAAUUCGGUAAGUAGUAAACAAAGCAAACUGACAUUAAGUUUUGCUUUCUUAAAACUCUGAGAUAGUACAUAUAUAUGAAAAUUAAUAAAAUAUUUUUCAAAGUCUGAGACCACAUGGUUUUAUUCUAACAGGAAAUUCGUAUUUAUAAAAAUAGUCCUCUAUUUAGUUUAUCCCCUCUUGAAGCUUUUUAAGGAUUUCUUUUACACAUAGCGCUGGAAUGUUGCAUUCAUUAUUAUGGUUAGCUUUGUACUUUCUAUUCCCGAUCAUCACUGGGCCAUGACGUUCCAUCCUGCCCCCCUCAAGGGUUACAUGCCAUGCUGUGGGCAGAAGAGGUCCCCUGAGAGGUAUGCAGCACUGUUGGGGAAGACGGUGCUGACGGAAAGUCAGUCCACCUCUCCCUCCUGUAGCUCUAGGUCAUCGCGGCCACUCCGGCCCUGCUGAUGUGCUGGCCGUUCCCUCCCCACAGCCUGCUCUCCAGCUUCUCUGAGAGACAACAGCUGUUUCCAGCUGCACAGUUUCCUUUAUGCUUUUAUGGGCUCUUAAGCUGCAGCUGCUUGGCAUCUGCUCCCCUUGGCUCUUACAGAGGCGGGGAUUGUUUGAGAAGCAAAUUCCUGAGCUCUGGAUCAUUCCAUGUGAUAAUGUUAAAGAAAUCAUGAAACCUGUAUGAAAUUUUGUCAUGGGAAGAAGUAGCAUAAUUCAAUAGGUUGUUAUAAAUUUUAAAUGAGCAAGAGUCUUAUUUUUAGUAACACUCUUACCCUAACCAAAACGCAAACCUUUCUUUCUUAGUAAAAUAUUUCCCUUAAAUUGUCCACCUAAAUAUUAGUCAUCUCUUCUGGUAAAUAUGACACAUAUCUGUGGUUACUUGGCCAUGUUCCUUGCCUUUGAUUACUAAUGUUUCUCCAGAUUCUCCAUUUUAGACUUGGAAGAAAGACAGCAAUCAUCUCCUGCAAAGGCCAUAAGCAGGAGCCUUCUAUUUGUGCAGUGAGUACCACAUGCUUCUGAGGUUUGGAAAACGCCUGGGUCAUCCAAGUACCACUAAGUAUCUUGCAAAGCUACCGGAGGAUGUGCUCCACCAAUAACGAAUAAAAUCAAGAAAGAUGACCUGGGAUCACACACAGAAGAGAAAUGAUAGAAAUGUUAGGGUAAAAGGUCUCUCCCCAUGUGCCUCGAUGUCAGAAUGGAACGGGCACGUCCCCGGCGGGGGUCCUACUGUACCUGCGAGGCCAGUCUCCGCA